rnacentral:rRNA from 1 species
AGCGGCGGACGGGUGAGUAACACGUGGGCAACCUGCCUUGUAGAGGGGAAUAGCCUUCCGAAAGGAAGAUUAAUACCGCAUAAUAUUGCACUUUCGCAUGAAAGAGUAAUUAAAGGAGCAAUCCGCUAUAAGAUGGGCCCGCGGCGCAUUAGCUAGUUGGUGAGGUAACGGCUCACCAAGGCGACGAUGCGUAGCCGACCUGAGAGGGUGAUCGGCCACAUUGGGACUGAGACACGGCCCAGACUCCUACGGGAGGCAGCAGUGGGGAAUAUUGCACAAUGGGGGAAACCCUGAUGCAGCAACGCCGCGUGAGUGAUGAAGGUCUUCGGAUCGUAAAGCUCUGUCUUCAGGGACGAUAAUGACGGUACCUGAGGAGGAAGCCACGGCUAACUACGUGCCAGCAGCCGCGGUAAUACGUAGGUGGCGAGCGUUGUCCGGAUUUACUGGGCGUAAAG